rnacentral:rRNA from 1 species
GAUGAACGCUGGCGGCGUGCCUAAUACAUGCAAGUCGAGCGAACAGAUGAGAAGCUUGCUUCUCUGAUGUUAGCGGCGGACGGGUGAGUAACACGUGGGUAACCUACCUAUAAGACUGGGAUAACUCCGGGAAACCGGGGCUAAUACCGGAUAAUAUUUUGAACCGCAUGGUUCAAUAGUGAAAGACGGUUUCGGCUGUCACUUAUAGAUGGACCCGCGCCGUAUUAGCUAGUUGGUAAGGUAACGGCUUACCAAGGCGACGAUACAUAGCGGACCUGGGAGGGUGAUCGGCCACAAUGGAACAGAGCCACGGUCCAGACUCCUACGGGAGGAAGCAGUAGGGAAUCUUCCGCAAUGGGCGAAAGCCUGACGGAGCAACGCCGCGUGAGUGAUGAAGGUCUUCGGAUCGUAAAACUCUGUUGUUAGGGAAGAACAAAUUUGUUAGUAACUGAACAAGUCUUGACGGUACCUAACCAGAAAGCCACGGCUAACUACGUGCCAGCAGCCGCCGUAA